rnacentral:rRNA from 1 species
GAUGAACGCUAGCUACAGGCUUAACACAUGCAAGUCGAGGGGCAGCACAGUGUAGCAAUACAUGGGUGGCGACCGGCGCACGGGUGCGUAACGCAUAUCCAACCUUCCCGUUACUCAGGGAUAGCCUUCCGAAAGGGAGAUUAAUACCUGAUGGUGUUCAAAUUCCGCAUGUUAUUUGAACUAAAGAUUUCUCGGUAACGGAUGGGGAUGCGUGACAUUAGGUAGAUGGCGGGGUAACGGCCCACCAUGCCUACGAUGUCUAGGGGUUCUGAGAGGAAGGUCCCCCACACUGGAACUGAGACACGGUCCAGACUCCUACGGGAGGCAGCAGUGAGGAAUAUUGGUCAAUGGCCGGAAGGCUGAACCAGCCAAGUAGCGUGAAGGAUGAAGGUUUUAUGGAUUGUAAACUUCUUUUAUACGGGAAUAAAACCUCCCACGUGUGGGAGCUUGUAUGUACCGUAUGAAUAAGCAUCGGCUAACUCCGUGCCAGCCGCCGCCGUAAGAC